GGUGCUGUAGGAUGUUAUGCUGGAAACUGGUAGGCUGUCAGGGCCUAUGAAGCCACUAUUUGACAGAUUAUUGGGAUUCAUUUAUUACUGAUGUAAGAUAUUUUAUAUAUGUAAGAUAAGUGAUGCAGAAUCUUUUAUAUAUGGAAGAUGUCAAUUAGAGAUUAAUCAAAUUAUUUGAUUUAAUUUUUAUACUUAGAUUUCUUUUUCUUCAAGUAAAAGCUAGCUAAGAGUUUUUUUAUCUUUUCUUUUUCUUCAAGCACAAGUUAUUGUGCCUAUAAAUUAUAACUUCUUGAAGGUCUUUGGCAUCAAUGAAUUGAAUC
rnacentral:lncRNA from 1 species